ACCGGGACAGCAGCGGCGUCCUGUACCUGAAAUCCGCUACAGCAGGGGUGAUGCCGGACCUGAGGGCUUUAAUUACGAAGCUGCCUUCUGUAAGUGGCGCUGAAGUCCGGGUCUUGCGCAACGGAAAUCCGCGAACCGUGUCAGGGCAGGAAUGCAGCAGCACUAAGCGGAACCUUUCGUGUGACGCGAGGCAGCCUGGGCCGAGCCGGCUGCAGAAGUAACGUUCGUGACGUCCGUUCGAGGGUCCGGUGCGCG
rnacentral:SRP_RNA from 1 species